UACGUAGGGGGCUAGCGUUGUCCGGAAUCAUUGGGCGUAAAGCGCGCGUAGGCGGCCCGGUAAGUCCGCUGUAAAAGUCAAAGGCUCAACCUUUGAAUGUCAGUGGAUACUGCCGGGCUAGAGUCCGGAAGAGGCGAGUGGAAUUCCUGGUGUAGCGGUGGAAUGCGCAGAGAUCAUGAGGAAGACCAGUGGCGAAGGCGGGUCUCUGGACAGUUCCUGACACUGAGACACGAAGGCCAGGGGAGCAAACGGG
rnacentral:rRNA from 1 species